GAGGGUAUAGCUCAGUGGUAGAGUGUGUGCUUAGCAUGCAUGAGGUCCAGGGUUCAGUCCUCAGUACCUCUG
rnacentral:tRNA from 1 species